AACGAACGCUGGCGGCAUGCCUAACACAUGCAAGUCGAACGAUCCCUUCGGGGAUAGUGGCGCACGGGUGCGUAACGCGUGGGAACCUGCCCUUAGGUUCGGAAUAACUCAGAGAAAUUUGAGCUAAUACCGGAUAAUGUCUUCGGACCAAAGAUUUAUCGCCUUUGGAUGGGCCCGCGUUGGAUUAGCUAGUUGGUGGGGUAAAGGCCUACCAAGGCGACGAUCCAUAGCUGGUCUGAGAGGAUGAUCAGCCACACUGGGACUGAGACACGGCCCAGACUCCUACGGGAGGCAGCAGUGGGGAAUAUUGGACAAUGGGCGAAAGCCUGAUCCAGCAAUGCCGCGUGAGUGAUGAAGGCCUUAGGGUUGUAAAGCUCUUUUACCCGGGAUAAUAAUGACAGUACCGGGAGAAUAAGCCCCGGCUAACUCCGUG
rnacentral:rRNA from 1 species